CCGUCUCGGCCUCCCAAAGUGCUGGGAUUACAGGCUUGAGCCACCGCGCCUGGCCUUGCUUAUUUCUUUUGUAAUAACUAAGUCAUAUAAAUUGAGCUCACAAAAAUAUUUAUAUUAAUAAAAUUAUAAUUUAUCAUUGGUAAUGUUUGAGUUUUUGUACAUUUUUAUGUAGCAAGAAAAACAGUUUUUACUGUUAAAAAUGGUUUUUCAAAAAUCAGAGCAAGCCUAAGCCCCUUCAUUUUAUAAAUACAAUAACCUGAGGCUCAUCAGUGCUGGUGACUCACACAGGCACACACUCAGCAUUGCUGGAUGUCAGCUCAGGAUCCAGAAUGCAUUUGAACAAUUCAUGCUAAAUUAAUAAAUGCACUGUAAAAUAGGGCCAUAUUAAUCCCAAAAUAACUAAACCUGUGGAAUUUGUAAAAUAAGAUGUUUAUGAAUGAGGACAUGGCAUUUCGCCUUAGUUCUGAUUCCCCCCUUUCUGAAAGCAGAAUCUACAGUCUAUUUUCCCAUUGCUAGAUUUCAGAGGAGAGCCUGGUGUCACUUACAGCAGACAUUGCAGAUGCCUCAGCAUUUCGGAUGAAGACGCAACCAAGGAGCCUUUGAUUAGUAGUGAAAUUGUGGCACCCCAACAAUUGUGGAGUGGAAUGUCCUGCCACUCUGGAGGGAUGAUGGCUCAGGGUCAAGACUGAACUAAUUAGAAAAAAAAAAUGCACUCCAGGAAUAUCAAGUCCAAAACGAAGCUCUUCAAACCAUCUGGGAAGAGAAAACAGCAUGACAAGGAAAGGUAUAUUUGUCUGAUCCCAGGAAUCAAUAUAAACAUCCAUGAUAACCCCACCUGUUUUUUAAAUAUAUGAUUUGGAUGAAACAAGAGAAAGAGACUGAUUGUUGCUGAGUCCCUGUUGCAGUCCCGAUACAGCUGGAGAUGCCCUGUUCCCCUGCUCCCCUGCUCUCCCGCUCUCCUGCUCUCCUGCUCUCUUUAUUUUGUUGAUGCUCAUGAGGACCCUGAUGUCUGAGGAAGAAGGUUCCCGUCCAGCUCUGCCCCUGGUGUGUCAUGUGCAGGCCUUGUCAAUGCACACGAGAACCUGACAGGGUGAGUGUUAUAACCGUAAUCAUAGAAAAGAAAACGUCUCUAAAGUCUUUAGCAUCUUGACCGAGUUCAGACACUUAGCAGAGGCCUGAGUUUAGAUGCAGCCCCGUCUUGCUCUUUGACAGCCUCAGCACCACGUGCCCUGGGUGACCCACGCAGAGUCACUGACAACCCUCGUGGUUGGCUCAUGGCACAGCGUGGAGCGAAAUGGCCCACUGACCUUUUCAGACACUUGGACAAUUCGUGAUAUAGUGUAUGCGGUCACUCCCAGUGAGUUCUAUUGUUCAGUUUAAUAGAAUACCUAAUUCUGAGUUUAUUAUGAAUAAAGGGAGAUUUCUUGUGGUUUUU